rnacentral:lncRNA from 1 species
GAAUAUGGGCUUUGGAGUAGUCUAACUCUCCAGCUGCUUUGAUCAUACCUCUGCAUGAUCAAGUCCCUCCCCUGGGACUCACUGGUACUUGCAUUCAAACUUUUCCCUUGGUGGAAUAUAGCCCCCAUAUGCUGAUGACCAAGGCUUUCAUUCGAUGCAAAAUUCGAUGCACGCACAGAAGACCCGCCUCUGUGGUACCAUGGCCUUCACUCCUUGAAUCUA